rnacentral:rRNA from 1 species
GUCUGCAGCAAUACCACCCUGAAUAUACCUGAUCUCAUCUGAUCUCAGAAGUUAAGCAGGGUCGGGCCUGGUUAGUACUUGGAUGGGAGAGUAGGCAGAAAAUGGUAGCUU